AUUGAACGCUGGCGGCAGGCCUAACACAUGCAAGUCGGACGGUAGCACAGAGGAGCUUGCACCUCGGGUGACGAGUGGCGGACGGGUGAGUAAUGUCUGGGGAUCUGCCCGAUAGAGGGGGAUAACCACUGGAAACGGUGGCUAAUACCGCAUAACGUCGCAAGACCAAAGAGGGGGACCUUCGGGCCUCUCACUAUCGGAUGAACCCAGAUGGGAUUAGCUAGUAGGCGGGGUAACGGCCCACCUAGGCGACGAUCCCUAGCUGGUGUGAGAGGAUGACCAGCCACACUGGAAGUGAGACACGGUCCAGACGCCUACGGGAGGCAGCAGUGGGGAAUAUUGCACAAUGGGCGCAAGCCUGAUGCAGCCAUGCCGCGUGUAUGAAGAAGGCCUUCGGGUUGUAAAGUACUUUCAGCGGGGAGGAAGGCGAUGUGGUUAAUAACCGCAUUGAUUGACGUUACCCGCAGAAGAAGCACCGGCUAACUCCGUGCCAGCCGCCGCCGUAA
rnacentral:rRNA from 1 species